CAGGAACCAGCCCUGGCAGAAGUGUUCCACCAGUUGCACGAUCCUCACCGCAACAUUCCUUAUCCAAUCCCUUACCGUGACGAGUAGCACAGCCCCUCUAUGGUUUAGAUGGCAGUGCUGCAAAGGAGGCAACAGAGGAGCAGUCUGCUCUGCCAAUCCUCACGUCAGUGAUGCUAGCAAAACCUCGGCUUGACACAGAGCAGCUGGCGUAAAGGAGAGCUGGCCUCUGCUUCACUUUUGUUUCAG
rnacentral:lncRNA from 1 species